GGUGAGUGUACCCUGGCCAAAGUUAUCAUGCCCAUUCAUAUUAUUUCUGAUAAUCAUCAUGACACAUACGACCCUCCACAUACAUCAGCCAGAGUAAGGCGCGAAACCCCAGUAAAAGGCAGUUUUGACCCCCACAUUUACAUAGAUGCCAUUGGGGUGCCUAGGGGGGUACCUAAUGAAUUUAAAGCUAGAGAUGAAGUAGCUGC